UUAUACUGAGGUAAACAAUUAAUUUUAUCUAAAUAAUGUUUCAAAGCGUAAAUUUCGUUUUAAGCAUAACCGUUUCGUAUAACCUGCUUUAAUAUUGCACGGUUAUAACUCAACAAUUUGAACACGUCCACAAAUGUAGUUUAAAAUUACUACAUAUUCGCAUUAAAUUAACCAUAUUAUAUUGUAUGUCGGUCACAGGCAUAUUUGAUAAGCAAAUUUUCAUUUUAUUAGACGUUUGAAAUGUGGAGAAUUUCUUCUAUAAUUAUAACGUGGAUAAUCAUUAUAAGUUUAUCAACAAGUCAGCCUACAACCGAAAGGGAGCAUGAUGGCGACAACAUGAAUUUUUACAAAAUAGCAUCAAGAGCAAUAGCUUUCUUUCCACUAGUUGCUUAAAAAUGACUUUUUUUUAAAUUUUAUAUUAAAUAAAUAAUAUCAGUGAUAAUAUUCAUUCCAAUUACAAAUGUUUUCUCUCCCCUUCUAGCUUCUCAAGAAAUGAACCUAUUUUUCAAAUAAGUUUACACUAAAGCUCUUAAUGUUGAAUUAGGAAAUAUAUAUUAGAGUUUAUUACAUAUUUUAAUAUUCCCUAAAAGCCUCUACUUGUAUGAAUAUUACAUAAAUAGAGUUUAAGUAUAGUUUAAAACUGCUCUCAUGUAAAUUGUCAAGAAGUUUGCAAAGUUUCGCAAUUUCUUGGCAAGUAUUCAAUUAGCUCUGUCUCUAUCAUUAACUCGGGCUAAGCGUUAAACUCUACUUGGCCUAGCAGUUUUAUUUCUAAGCGAUUUUUAUAGCCUGAAUAAAAAAGUUUUACCUAGGUAUUUAUAAAAGUA